rnacentral:misc_RNA from 1 species
GACAAAGCAUGUAUUCAAACACCACCAAUUAACUAAAAUGGAAGUAUCAGCGUCGGCUUUAGCGUUCAUAUGAACUUCGACCCACAGCUAAUGCGGGUUUUUAUUCAAGAAGGAUGGAAUUACGAUAAAAAGAAACUGAUUUGGGGAAAAAAUGGAACUACACAAGGAUGGGAACAGGAUAACGUAAUGGAAGUGAACCCGUCAAUGACAAUGUUUGCGAUCUUAUUUGAAGCAGUACUUGGACCAUCAAGUUUAGGAGUAAUUGCUGUUGAUGACAUCAACAUAUAUCCGGAUAACACAUCAUUGAAAGAUGACAGAAAAUCGAAUUCCAUCAUUAUUACCGCAACAGUGGUGCCUUUGGUUGUCAUUUUUGCAAUUGCCAUAAUUUUAGUCAUAUUCAGAAAGCCAUGGAUGAACAAGCCAAAAGAUGGUCCAAGAACUACGUCCACAAAAAAUUUCGACUCUGACGCUUACGCAAAUUAUGAGGAAGAUGUAUUUAAGAAUGCUUAUACCCCACCUUUGUAGACAUGAAGAUGUAAAAGCUGAAAGAGCAAAUUGUACCAUUUAUUAAGUAUUUAACUAUAUAGGUCUAAAUAUUAUCUAGGUGUUAUCCACGUUUUAUUACCUAAUGUCAGUAUCUACUGUAUUAUAUUCAAAACAUGUGAAAGAGUAAGAGGUACUGUAAUGUACUCCUAUUUUAUUAACAUGAAUGUACAAUUGGUGAAGGAAGCAAAGUGUAAAAUAACCUUAGAAGAUAGAUAUUUUCAACACAAAUUGCUAUGUUUGGUGAGUAUGGCGUAGCAGUACGAGGAAUAUGCAAAAGUCAGUAUAUAAAUUCAUAGAACGUGUUACUGACCAGUAGCAAUGUUGUAGUAAAAUACGUAAUUUUAUGAUCUUUAUAAUGCUGAGAUGCACAGUAGAGGGAGAAAACUACCGUACUUCAUAUUAUAUGGUCCAAGAAUGUUUCUGUUUUUUUUGGGGGGGGGGGGGGUGGGGUGGGGAGGAUGGCGUUCUAUUUACUUUUAUACGGAAAUUUGUUUAAAAUAAGAAAUUGAUUAAUUGAAUUCAAUUUAAGAAUGAAAAAUAUAACUUUAGCUUUAUAAAACAUUAAUCUCGAAAUAGAAUGAAUAUAUAUGUAAUGUUUGAGGUCAAUGUUGUUGCUCACAUUGUGAGAAAAUAGAACUUCAUUGAACUUGCAAUUGACAUUUUUAUAAUUAUAUAAUCAUGACUUAUUUGAACUUUAUGCAUGUAACUUUUGUUUUGUAAAAUGAAGGUAAAGGUAUGAUAAAUUCUGACAUUACCUAAAUGCAACGUUCAAAACUCAUGUAAAUGUUAUGAUAAGGUCUUGUAUUUGCUGGAUAAUUUCCCGAACUUUUGGAUUGAUUGUUAAAUUUACCUUUUUAGUACUGUAUUUUAAUAUUGCAACCAAAAAAGCAAUUUAUGUAUAGGCAUUGCAAAUAUAUAUAGCAUCAAUAAAAAUAUAAAUAAGUCCUAAUUUUAUGGUUUUGAUUGACGUACCAUUUACAAUUUCUAUGGGAUCUAAAUAAUAGUCUAUAAUAAUAAAAUUAUUAUAAAAUUUCAAUAAAAGUAUAAUUUAUUUUCUAGGCCUAUAAACCAACAGUUUAUUAUCUAAUUAUCCAUGGCCCAAGGUCUUAUUGUAGAAAAUAUGCGUUUUGUCGUUGCAUUAAAUAUCAGGAAAUUACUCAAAACCAUGUUUAUCAUGAAUCCAGGAGUGCUGUAGGACACCUUUACUCCCCAAUAGGUUUGAAAUUUUAAAUUUCAAUGAAUGAACCCUCAUUUUAAAAAUUACAUAUGGCCUGCUCAUGAAUCUGAAAAUACCAAUAACUACAUUUUAAUUUUUGCUACAACUUAGCCAUUUAGCUACAACAUGCUUCAUGUACUGGAUGCUUAGAAAAACUAAAUAAACUGAAUAGACUAGGAAUGUGAGACAUUAUAGAGGUGGAUUCAGCAUUUUGUAUCAGGUGCCUCAUGAAAUAAAGUAGUCGUGUUUAUGCGCUUUCCUGCA